UUUCAGUAACAAGCAGCCACAGCAAUGACCAUAGGAGUCUCAGAUCAUUAAGCAAUGUCUCACCGUGAUGUCAUGCAUUGAUGUACAGAGUUGUAAUCCUUUCAAAACAGACAGAUUGUCAGUGUGAUAAAGUGGAUAUAAACAAGCUUCUGAACAGGGAUGACUAAAGCUUUGGAAAAAUUCAUUGGCCUGAAAAAGGAGGAAAAAGGGUCCUAACACCACAGUACCAACCCGGCUAGAAUAACCAAAAGUCUGGGGACAUUUGCUAUCAAGGCUUUGGUUGGGACUAUCUCGAAAACUUUCACCAGCUAUCUCAUGAAACCAGCAGUACUCCAUUUGAAUCAACCAGGAAAAAAAAUGGAAAUCAAAGCAAACAGAUAGGAUUUCCAGUCCAACGAGGGUCCCAACUCAGACUUUGGCCUACUGAGCCCCCUACAACUGAUGAGUGACCUCUGCAGACCACAGCAGGAAUAAGAAUGAUCCAGGACAACCUGAGUUACUAAGACAUGAGGUAAAGCUGGCACCAAGAUGUCUAGCCUGGAGGAAGCUAUGGAAAAGCGAAGGGGUUUUCCUUUUUCAACAGGAAACAAAGCCUGAGGUUUUGUAAUGGUGCUUGGUGAGGAUAGCUACCUGAAGAGAGUGGCAGCAUUGUCUAACACUUGAGCAACACAGCAGGAGGCAGAUUUACAAGUCAAGAUUUGUCCCUACCACUCCUCUUGGCCAAGUCACUGAUACUCUUCAUGCUUCAGUCUACUCACCUGCAAAAGAAGUAAUGCCCACCUUUAUAAGGUGCUUUGCGAUUCAAAGUAGGUGCUAUAUAAAAAGUACUAAUUUAUUUUAAUUAUUAAAUCGUAAGUGGUUCUUUUACAGACUACGCCAUAUAACAUAUGAUACUCACUUACAGAAAAACCAUAUAAUAUAGUACAACUACAUCUACUAUAUGCGAAACUUAGCAACUCAGCUGUUCUGUAGUUAAAACCUCUUUAGCUUUGUUCAUUUGUUUUUCAACUUUAAUGGUAUUUCAACAAAUGCUAUUAAAUUGCAGGAUUUUUGCUACGAACAGAAAUGAAAAAUGUAUAAUAAAUAAUACCACUUAAUGUGUCAAAUGCCCUUACCAUGAUGUUGACAUUAUAAUCUUAUAGGCUUGCACUAAUAUCAUUUCAUUUUGCCUUUCUUAUAGUCUUCAUCAAUUUGUGUUGAUAAUGUUUCAUUUUGACAUCAUAAUAGUGUCUCCAUGGAUUCAGGGUGACAUUGUGUUUUGACAUCAUGUUAAAAAAAUAUCACGUCAUUGUCACCAUAAUAUUGUCUCUAUUGGAUUUGCAUGAUAUUAUUUUAUUUUGAUAUCCUUUGUAAGGAGGAUUUUCAGCCCAUUAAAAUGGGUGGUAAAAUAGGACAAUUACUAACAAAGUUAUGAAAAUGUUCUGCAUAGUUGUUGUUGGGUUUUGUUGCUGCUGCUGUUGAAACUUGCAUAUUCAAAAUACAGUAAGGAAUUGGCUCUGUAUGGGGCUGAUCUUCAGCUGGUAUCAAGUGUCAUAGCUCUGUCAAUGGGUCUAUGACAAUUCACUCCAUAUGACGAUCUGCUCCUAAGAGAAGGCAAAAUGUCUUUUGUUCGAGAGUUUGGUAAAAAUGUGUCUGGAUUUAUUCUCCCAUUUCAGAAAUUCACACAGGAGCUCCAACAGCAAAAAUAUCCUUGCAAAUCAGUUGUUUUCAGAAUGUCUAAACUGCAUGCUUCAUGCUUCUAUGUGUACUAACCAGAAAGUUUCUUCUGAAUAGCAUUAAAAAGAUGAGUUUUUG